rnacentral:rRNA from 1 species
CGGUGGAGCAUGUGGUUAAUUCGAAGCAACGCGAAGAACCUUACCAGGUCUUGACAUCCCGAUGCUAUUUCUAGAGAUAGAAAGUUACUUCGGUACAUCGGUGACAGGUGGUGCAUGGUUGUCGUCAGCUCGUGUCGUGAGAUGUUGGGUUAAGUCCCGCAACGAGCGCAACCCCUAUUGUUAGUUGCCAUCAUUCAGUUGGGCACUCUAGCGAGACUGCCGGUAAUAAACCGGAGGAAGGUGGGGAUGACGUCAAAUCAUCAUGCCCCUUAUGUUCUGGGCUACAUACGUGCUACAAUGGCCGGUACAGACGGACGCAAAGCCGCGAGGUGGAGCAAAUCCUAAAAAGCCGGUCUCAGUUCGGAUUGCAGGCUGCAAUUCGCCUGCAUGAAGUCGGAAUCGCUAGUAAUCGCAGGUCAGCAUACUGCGGUGAAUACGUUCCCGGGCCUU